UUUUAUGUACAUAGAGUAUGGCAUCUCCACAGCACUUCCCCAUUUCUGUUUACUCAAAAAGGAAGAUUUUAACUUUAACAAAAUAAAAUUACGUAUAAUAGAACAGUUGUCAAGCAAGAAUUACAGUUACAAUACCUAGUCUAUUUGUAUUUGGCGAAAGUAAAGAAAA